UAGUCUGGUGCCAGCAGCCGCGGUAAUUCCAGCUCCAAUAGCGUAUAUUAAAGUUGUUGCAGUUAAAACGCUCGUAGUCGGAUUUCGGGGCAGGUUUGCCGGUCUGCCGAUGGGUAUGCACUGGUAGAACUGUCCUUCCUUCCGGAGACGGCGCCUACUCUUAACUGAGCGGGUGUCGGAGACGGAUCGUUUACUUUGAAAAAAUCAGAGUGUUUCAAGCAGGCAGCUCGCUUUUGCAUGGAUUAGCAUGGGAUAAUGAAAUAGGACUUUGGUGCUAUUUUGUUGGUUUCGAACACCGAAGUAAUGAUUAACAGGGACAGUCAGGGGCACUCGUAUUCCGCCGAGAGAGGUGAAAUUCUUAGACCAGCGGAAGACGAACCACUGCGAAAGCAUUUGCCAGGGAUGUUUUCACUGAUCAAGAACGAAAGUUAGGGGAUCGAAGACGAUCAGAUACCGUCGUAGUCUUAACCAUAAACCAUGCCGACUAGGGAUUGGAGGAUGUUCCUAUGUGACUCCUUCAGCACCUUUCGGGAAACUAAAGUCUUUGGGUUCCGGGGGGAGUAUGGUCGCAAGGCUGAAACUUAAAGGAAUUGACGAAAGGGCACCACCAGGAGUGGAGCCUGCGGCUUAAUUUGACUCAACACGGGGAAACUUACCAGGUCCAGACAUAGUAAGGAUUGACAGAUUGAGAGCUCUUUCUUGAUUCUAUGGGUGGUGGUGCAUGGCCGUUCUU
rnacentral:rRNA from 1 species